GUAUUUUAGAGAAAUAAGAUUUCUGUGGUUACCAUGACCUGCUGUUACAGAUUACAUGGUACCCUCUCUUCAUAUGUUGAAGUCCUAGCCACCCCGCCGAACCUCAGAAUGUGACUGUAUUUGGAGAUAGGGUCUUUACAGAGGAAAUCAAGUUAAAAUGAAGUCAUUAGGGCAGGCCCUAAUCCGAUAUGAUCCUGUGUUCUUAGAAGAGGAAAUGUGGACUCAGGUGUGUAUGGAGGGAAGAUGUCUUGCAAGCCCAAGGAGAAGAUGGCCAUCUGAGCCCACGUCCUGGAACAGAGACUUCCCUCACAGCCUCAGAAAGAACCAGCCCUGCUGACGUCUUGAUCUCAGACCUCCAGCCUCCAGAACUGGGAGACGAUUCAGUCAGCAUCUACACAACACAGGGUUGAACUGUGCGGGUCCACUUCUAUGCAGAUUAUUUUCUUUUUUCUUUUUUGAGACAGAGUCUCGCCCGGUUGCUCAGGCUGAAGUGUAGUGGUGUGAUCUUGGCUUACUGCAGCUUCCACCUCCCAGGUGCAAGUGAUUCUCCUGCCUCAGCUUCCCAAGUAGCUGGGACUAUGGGUACUCGCCACCACACCUGGCUAAUUUUUGUAUUUUUAGUAGAGAUGGGGUUUCACCAUGUUGGUCAGGCUGGUCUUGAACUCCUGACCCCAAGUGAUCUGCCUGCCUUGGCCUCCCAGAUUGCUGGGAUUACAGGUGUGAGCCACCGUGCCCGGCCCUAUAUAACUCUUUGUGCAAGUUUUUACCCCUAAAAGAUAUCUGCCAUCUCAGCCAUGGAACAGACACUGUAAGAACAUGAAGGCUCAAGGGCAGGGCUGGCUACAUAAUUUGUGGGACCCAUUACAAAAUGAACAUGGAGAAAAAACUAGAAAAAAGUGUAGUACAAGGUACUAUAAUAGAUUUUUCCUUUGAAAACAGUUUAAUACUUAUAAAAUGUAAUAGAGGGAAAUAGUGACACGUGAGUAACAAAAUGGGCGUAUCAAUUGGUCUAUGCUAUUUUUGGUGUUAUAAUUUUACCUAAUAUAAUAAGCAGCAACACUUUGUUAGUGAGACGGGCUUUCACCAUGUUGGCCAGGCUGGUCUGGAACUCCUGACCUCAGGUGAUCCGCCUGCCUCAGCCUUCCAAAGUGCUGGGAUUACAGGUGUGAGCCUCUGCGCCCGGCUGUGAUGUCUUGAUUGAUCAUAGGAUUUUUCUGGCUAUUCUAGCUACUUCCAAUUCGCUUCAGCCAAUUUAGUUGAAGUUUUAUCACUUGUGACUUCAGAGUCCUGGUUAAUAUCCUGUUGCCCUCAGGACAUGCAGGAUGGAGGAAGGCACCAGGGAGCCGAGGGAAGUGAGCAGAGAGGCAGUCACUUCAGGGCCACCAGCAUAGCCCCCGUCACUGUCCACAGACACAGGCCCUUCCCCUUCUCAUGGUUGAGCAGGCUCCACCUCACUUCCGUGUAUGACUUCAUAGACCGUUAGGUUCCGUGGUACCCUGGAGUCCACAGCUGCUGAAUCUGAAGGGCCAUCAGAAGACUGGCUUCUCCAUGAUGGUUUAUGGACUAAGGCAAAGAUGAGCAGAGCCAUGGCCCUCUUCUUUGUUCUCUGCUGGAUCCAAGAGUCGGGGGUCUCCCUAUGUUUCCCAGGCUGGCCUCGAACUCCUGACCUCAAGUGAUCCUCCCACCUCAGCCUCCCCGAGUGCUGGGAUUAAAGACGUGAGCCACGGCACCUGGCCUGAAUUUUCCUCAAAUUCAAAAAAUCCUGAUGAAGGUUUGGCUAAAAUCUUUGGUGAGUUACCCCACUCCCUGUGGAACCUCAGGCUGGAUUUGAAGAGUUGCGUGCAUGGUCCUCAUUGUCUCCCAGGUAACCUGUUCCCGCUGCUGUGAAGGGAAGGCAGGUGCUCUUCCUUGAGGCUAGAAUCUGUCUACGUGUCACAGUCUCAGGAAAUUAAGCAAAACAGAUGAUAAACACCUCAAAAGGACCCUACUGAGCAUCAGUGGAGCAGAGCAGGGCCAUGUGGGACUGCGGCGUCAGAUGCCACCUCACACUAGCUGUGACACACCUGCCUCGCCAGUUUCUGCUCUGAGGCCCCAAAGCCGAGCUGAACCUCCUCCAGGGGUUCUCAGCCCUAACUGAGCAUGAAAACCCCUGGGGCAAUCCUCUUUUUAACAAUUGAGACAUUCCACACACACCCCACAUCAGAUUUUGGGGUGUGGGGAUAGACCUUCACAUUUGUAGUUUUCUAACCCUCCAGGGGACACUAGGCUGAGACUCAUUGGUCUCCACUCUGAACCUUCCACUGAACAUGUGAGAAAAACUAAGGCCCAGGGAAGUCUUUAGCAGAGAGCUGAGACGGAGAAAAGGGUUCUGAACCACAGCUGUCUGCUGAAGGAAGCUGUCCAAAGGCCAGUGAAGUCUCUCCUGAGGGUGCCUGGGCUGUGCAUCAGGAGUGAAGGUUGAGGGUCACCUUAGGUGUGAGAAGGAGCAACUGGGAGAGUGGCGCUGAUGCUUCCCCCCGGGUUAGGAGGCAUUUGGAUCACAGAGCGAUGCCUGUUCAUUCCUGCUUGCAAGGGAGCAGAUCUCUCGACACCCGAUGGGCCUCUAUUCCGUUCCGGCAGCUGUCCGUGUCAGGAGCGCUGGGCUUGCUCCUCCCCACGGGAGCCAUCACAGAGGCCUCGGGCAGUCUGCAUAGACAACUGCCUGGCAGGUGACCAGGAGGGGAUGCAUGAGCAGAUGCAGGUAGCACUCGCAGUCCCCCUAGCUGUGCCCUCAGCACCUGCUGUCUAGGAGGCAGAAGCCUUGUUCUCGGCCUUGCAGGUGACCCCAGUGUCUCUGAAUUCGGCCCCAUAUGUGUAGGAGGGGAGUGAUUGCAUCUGAAGAUGGGAGUCUGGUUGGGGGUUUGGGAAGCUCCCAUCACCCCUCAAGAGUCCACUGACCAGCCCAGCUCACACCAGGUGGGCCUUGGCACUGGAGGCCACGGCUCAACUCUGCAGUUCCCUCUGGGCAGCAUUUCCAGGGACUCGUAGGUCAGCAUGGUCAUCAAGGACAGGUGGUGAGAGCAGCUCCUCAUUGUCCUGGUGACCCCGAUGGUUCAUUUUCUGGUGUCUCUGUGGUGAGCUCCUGUUACAUCAAGCGAGUGGAAACCACCGAGGACCAACAGCCCUGGAAAUGCACUGAGAAUGCAGGAUGAGUGGGCUUUGUGAGGACUGUUUUCUGUGACUUAGCAAGGAAAGCCUGGAAGGGAAAGUAAAACUGCUUCUUCCCAGGGAAGCCAGAAACCUGAGAACUUAAAAGGGAAGGAGAACUUAAUAUAUUUCAAAAAUGUAACCCUUGUGAAUUAGCAACAGCUUUAUAAACAAAGAGAUUUCCGAGCUUAUAGAAUCUAUUCUGCUUUGUUUCUGCCCCCAUGGCUCCUACCCCUGUUUUUGUGGGUACAAUUUUCAUAUAGAACAUUUUUACACAAGCUUCAAAACUCUCUGAGGACAGCUUUCCCCUUUGUGUCUGUCGGGUCCCAGGCAGUCACAUCCCAGGAAGUGCUGGGGUUGGGCUCCUUGCUCCACAUCCUUCUUCAGUGGCACGAAGCGUGGGGUGGAGUGUGUGAGUCAUGUGUGAUCUUGGUGUGGGCUAUGGCUGGUCUGCAGCACCCCUUCAAUGACUGCUUCAAGGGCUUUUCAUGAUGCUUGUAGCUCAUGAGCUAGUGUUUCCUAGAUGCUGUUUCCAGGUGUCUUGCAUGUCACACACUGGCCUACCAGGGCUGGAGUGAGAUCAUGAGCGCCAGAUUGUUGGUGAAGGAAGUUGACAGAGACAUCGAAUGUCGGUGAACAGGAGUGACCUUGGGUCUCAAUAAAUACUGUGGUCAACUGAAUCCAGAACCCACCCUUACCAGCAGGGCCCACUUCUUCCCCAGCAGGCCGAGCUCUUCCCCUCCUGUCUUCCCUGGCCCUUGCUUUGUAGCUCUGUGUGGCUGUGUCAUGUCUGGUUGUAUCUGUAUAUACUUCUGCCUCUCCCGCUAUCUAGAUGGCUCGGGGAGGCACACCACACACCAGGUCACCUUCCUCUCUGAACCCCCAGCACCUCAUACUGUUUCUGUGCAGAGAUAAGGCUGGGUGAAAGCUUGUGUGAAUGAUCUGAAGUCUUCUACUCUAGGCCAGUCUCCAGGAGCAUUAUGAUCUUUAGGAGGGUGGGCUUGGUUCCUCUGUACAAUAAUGGGUCAUAAAACUGAGUGGUCAAGAUCAUCCCGGUGAGGGCAGUCCGUGUGUUGCCAUAGUUGCUGUACCGGUUAAGAAUGCACCUGGCUGCAAUUUCCUGAAAACCUGACGUAUAGUGGCUUAAACAAAGAGUGGUUUAUUUUCCUUCUGUCAUAGCAAUCUGGGGGAGGCCACUGUGGCUUUGGCGCAGGAGGUCGGGAAAGGCCCGCUUCUCUGAUAUCAUUGGGGGCCUCCCCAGUGCUUGUGUGGCAGAAUGACAAGAGGAAGAAGAAGGAGAAUUAUGGCACUGAGUAUCAUGAGAUUUGGGGUCAUAUAUCUUUAGUGGGCGGUGUUUGCUGCCCCAAAUGUCUCAUGCCAUUAAAAUGUUCUGGAAAUGAUUUAGGUAGUUGGAGUUUCCUUCCCAAAGACAAGGCAUUUACAGCAUGAUGUCCAAUAUCCAUUGAGUUUGUGUCAUGCAUUCAUUGUAUUCAUAGUCUGCUUUAGGUACUUAGCAAAAUAUUGCUGAUAUUAACAUGCCUUUGUUUGCUUCACUGGAGAUGAAAUUGUGCUCCAAGUGUUUUCCAAGGUUCCGUAUGACCCAUCAUUUGAUGAAACAAGAACAGCAGUCAGAUCCAUUACAAAGAGAGACACACAAAAAAGCUAUUCCCAACAGAAGAGCUUGAACAAUGCUGCAUUUGCAUCAGGUUCAAAUGAGCGAGAGGAACAUUUGGCUAAAAUAUUUGAUGAAAUUCUACUGCAGGUGUUUCCAAAGUUUCCGUAUGACCCAUCAUUUAACGAAGCAACAGCAGUCAGAUCCAUUACAAAGACAGACAUGAGAAAAGGAACCAGCAUUGCUUGGAAUUCUCCUAAACCAGAAUAUUUCCUUGGCAGUGUGGACAAAAUUCCUGAUAAAGAGAUGGGGUUUCACUGUGUUAGCCAGGAUGGUCUCGAUCUCCUGACCUCAUGAUCCGCCCGCCUCGGCCUCCCAAAGUGCUGGGAUUACAGGCGUGAACCACCAUGCCCGGCCCAGAAUGUCCUUUCUUUUCGAAGCGGAGUAAUAUUCCAUUAUCACCUUUCAGAGGAGAAGAAUUUUAAAGAAUCCUGUCUGUUCGACAGGGAUUUAAGAGAGCAGUUAACUACUAUAGAUAAAGAAACACUUCAAGGAGCAGCUAAACCAGAUCUCCUCUGGCAAACACGACAUAUAAUAUUUUUAUAAUGGAUGGAAAGACAUGGUGGCACAAUUCUGAAGAAAAAAAUUUCACAAAACUUGCAAAAAAACAGAAACAGUUGAAGAGCAGCUCCUGUGUCUAAGCCAGGUCGUGGGGCCGUCAAACCAGGACUUGAAACCACAAUGCGAGGACAUUCUCCAUCUGCGCACCACAGGGAGGCAAUUCCAUUUCUGCCCGGGAGGUGUAUUCUACAAAAACGUCUGCUUCCCAUCCCAAUUUGAAUGGACCAAGAAAAACUGCUUUACCAUAGGACACUUGUGGCAAUAUGGCACCGAUGGCUGGCGUCGGUGAACCCGACAGACUAUGGAUUUAUCAUUUAAUAAAGCAUUGAUUCAUUUUUUCAGUCAUUCAUUGAACAGAUAUUAAUAGACCACCUCACAUGCUGACAAUAUCAAAAUACAAUGAGGAAACUAACAGUGACCCAGGCAUGCAUUCUUCCCCGAGCAAGAUCACAGUCCAUGGUGUGAGCACAACCAUACUAAAUAGCUUUUAUGGGAGGUGGGAGUACAGAAAGUAUUAUAUCUGCAAAGAAACUGCUAAGAAUUGUGGGAGCGCCCCAGGAGGUGAUUUCCUGCUUGCGUGACCAGCACAAAGAAAUGGGGUAAUUGAGAGUGUCAUGAAGUGGGGUUAUUUAUUUAUUGAGUC
rnacentral:lncRNA from 1 species